rnacentral:rRNA from 1 species
UACGGAGGGCGCGAGCGUUACUCGGAAUUACUGGGCGUAAAGCGCGCGUAGGCUGUUGUGUAAGUUGGGGGUGAAGUCCCACGGCUCAACCGUGGAACAGCCCUUGAUACUGCGCGACUUGAAUCCGGGAGAGGGUGGCGGAAUUCCAGGUGUAGGAGUGAAAUCCGUAGAUAUCUGGAGGAACAUCAGUGGCGAAGGCGGCCACCUGGACCGGUAUUGACGCUGAGGCGCGAAAGCGUGGGGAGCAAACAGG